AUUGAACGCUGGCGGCAGGCCUAACACAUGCAAGUCGAGCGCGCGGCGGACGGGUGAGUAAUGUAUGCGGACUGCCCGAUAGAGGGGGAUAACUACUGGAAACGGUGGCUAAUACCGCAUACUAUCGGAUAACCCAUAUGGGAUUAGCUAGUAGGUGGGGUAAAGGCUCACCUAGGCGACGAUCUCUAGCUGGUCUGAGCGGAUGAUCAGCCGAACUGGAGCGGAAACAGGGCCCAGACUCCUACGGAGGCAGCAGUGGGGAAUAUUGAACAAUGGGGGCAAGCCUGAUGCAGCCAGGCCGGGUGGAGGAAGAAGGCCUUAGGGUUGUAAAGUACUUUCAGCGGGAAGGCGUUACCCGCAGAAGAAGCACCGGCUAACUCCGUGCCAGCAGCCGCGGUAAUUC
rnacentral:rRNA from 1 species